rnacentral:rRNA from 1 species
GCCAAAAAACUACAAGUGAAAACUUCAAACUUAAAGGACCUGGCGGUGCUCCACAUCAGUCUAGAGGGGCCCGUCCAAUAAUCGAAACCACGCGAUAACCCAACCUCUUCUAGCCUCACAGUCUAUAUACCGCCGUCGAAAGCACGUCUUACAAAAGACGCAGCUAAAAAGUUAACAACACUAGCACGUCAGGUCAAGGUGUAACAUAUGAACAGGACAGGAUUGGCCACAGUAAAAACCUCAAAUGCAGUGAAAACUGCAACUAACCAAAAUUUAGCAGUAAAAAAACUUAUGAACAAUUUUCUGAACUACUGCCCUAAAGCACGCACACACCGCCCGUCACCCUC